rnacentral:rRNA from 1 species
GGCGAACGGGUGAGUAACACGUGGGCAAUCUGCCCUGCACUCUGGGACAAGCCCUGGAAACGGGGUCUAAUACCGGAUGACACUUCCUUCCGCAUGGGAGGAGGUUGAAAGCUCCGGCGGUGCAGGAUGAGCCCGCGGCCUAUCAGCUUGUUGGUGGGGUGAUGGCCUACCAAGGCGACGACGGGUAGCCGGCCUGAGAGGGCGACCGGCCACACUGGGACUGAGACACGGCCCAGACUCCUACGGGAGGCAGCAGUGGGGAAUAUUGCACAAUGGGCGAAAGCCUGAUGCAGCGACGCCGCGUGAGGGAUGACGGCCUUCGGGUUGUAAACCUCUUUCAGCAGGGAAGAAGCGAAAGUGACGGUACCUGCAGAAGAAGCGCCGGCUAACUACGUGCCAGCAGCCGCGGUAAUACGUAGGGCGCAAGCGUUGUCCGGAAUUAUUGGGCGUAAAGAGCUCGUAGGCGGCUUGUCACGUCGGAUGUGAAAGCCCGGGGCUUAACCCCGGGUCUGCAUUCGAUACGGGCAGGCUAGAGUGUGGUAGGGGAGAUCGGAAUUCCUGGUGUAGCGGUGAAAUGCGCAGAUAUCAGGAGGAACACCGGUGGCGAAGGCGGAUCUCUGGGCCAUUACUGACGCUGAG